AGCUAAGACCGUAUGUUGGCUUAGCAGUUAGUUUAAAGUUAAGGAUGGAGUUGAGAGUUUAACCAAAGAGCGUAGGAGAUUAGUCCUAAUUACUUUUUAUGGACUAAUAAACUUGAAAGCUUCAGACCCUCUUCCAUAGUAAUCUUAGAGGUUAUCCGGUGAAUGAUUCUCUUCAGUUUGUCUUGUUGGAAAAUUUUGGCCUGCUAUAGAGCUGAAGUUAACUUUGUUUUGCACCAUAAACCCCACCCUUUUGCAGCAAACGACAUGGAGAGUGAGCUCUCUGAAUUAUUGCUUCUUAUUCUGGUUUAAAUUUGGUGAUAUUGAAUUAUAAAAAUGUAGGCCAAGUGCAUGAUUGUGUUCUGUUUCACUGUGGCUGGUAUCUGUUCUCCAGUCAAUGGGUGCACUCAACGUGUGUGUCAGGUUUUGAUUGACUUCAUUGAUACCUCCAAUUAUGUUUAACCCGGAUGGAUAUAUUUUGUUGACCAAUACAUCAGAAUGGUCUUUUUGUUCAAUUUGAUCUAUGAUUAUUUACUGGAAGCCACCUUUUUUUUUUUUUCCCUAGUGGACUAUCAAAUUAUAGGUUCCCAAUCAGGGACUGAAAUGAAUGAGGAAAAGCCUAUGUAGGCUACUUGUCAAAAGUGUACUUUCAUACCUCUUAAUCUUCCUUCUUAGAUCUAUAACCAGAUUCCUGCUAUUGGUAAGGUGGUAGCUUUCUUCUGCUGCAUAAAUUAAUAGUAGUAAUAGUAAACAAACCUAUGUUCAGAUUGGAAACAAGAUAUUUUGAAAUAUUAUGCAAUAAUAAUCUCACUGGAAAUUUUCUUGAUUUCGCCUCUUAGCUUCUGUGGAAAGUUAACAAGCUCAUUAAUCUUUUUCGCUUGGGCAGGAGGAACUAAAAUCUGUUGAAUGCCUCCAACCUGCUUCCCGAUGCUGCACAGAGUAUGAUUGCUGAUUUUGUGACUGCGAAUCCAGAUCCGUUAAUACCAACGAUUUGCGAAAGCUUGUUUGUACCUGCGUAUAGCUUCUGGUCUUCUAGUACCAGAAGCCAAGCUGUUUCUGCAUUUGGAGGAUUUGCUUUAUGUGGUUAAAGCCAAACCCCUUGAUCGCAGGAUGAUGUGUGACUCACCGAUUGUGCAAACUAAGUUGAGCCAAAGUGAUUCUCUCUGUAAAUAUUCUCAUUCUAGCAUCUCAUGUGAUUCUGAAUUUCAGUCAGAGGUUGUGAAAGAUGACUCGUUGUCAAAGGUAAGUACCGGUGCACAUCUUCCAGGCAAAUGAUUUCGAAUUGCUAAAAUGUUCUGUUGGGAACCACGUGAAUUCAAUUGAUCUGGAAAUGAAUGAAUUUGUUCUAUUCAUUUGCAAGUGAAGUUUACUGUUAUUUAAUAAAGAUAUUUCCAGGCUAGUUUAGUAAAUUUAGGACAUGGACUCUCUCUUCUAGGAAUUUGCAUUCCAAAUCCACUCAGAAUUCUACAAAAUCUUUGGAAUUUGAGGAAAUCAUGUGGGUCGUAGCACGUUCUAGCAAAAUCUUUGUUGCUUAUGGAUUAUGCGUAACUUGGUCCAAAAUACUAACUACAUAUAACUUUAUUCUCAUUGUUUGUAGUAUGUUUGGUUUUUCUUUAGUGGUCAAACUACAGUUCCUAAAUUUGGUAUUUUGUUUGAUUUUUGGGUGAGUAAUCUUGAUGAUGGUAUUGAACGACUUGGAUCCUGCAAUAAAAGUUCAUACCCGACAAGUUCCAGCUUGAAUAGGAUGUACAAAGAUUGGAACGGCAGCUGCUUGAAGAAAUAGAGCUACGUGCUAUUCUGGAAAAUGCAAUUGAGAAAAAUGCUACUCAAUUCUCCAGUCCAGCAUGCCUUCCUUACAAUGCUCAAGAGAUCCUAAGCAUUAUUGCUGCAGUGGAGGUGACAGUUUCCGAACUAGAACAGGAUCGGAGUUGGUUGCAUUGCAUUUCCAACCAAGUCAAGAAAGAAAUAAAAGAAGGCUGGCAGAAUAUCGUCUGAGGCAUCCAUCUCCUCGGUCAAUGUCUCCUCGCCCGUCCAGCAUUAUGAAACUGCCGAUUUCAUCUUCCAGAAUGUCUGCUGACCACCCGAGGUGGGUAUCCAACUGGGGGAUUAACUGCACGUGCAAUACAGUUGGGAAGUAAAUCUGUUUUACUGGCACAUGCCGUGCAGGUGCAAUAGUUUAGAGAUGUCUGGGAAGUCGUCCUUGGCUUGAAGACAUCAGAUCUGAAGUGUGGUGAUUUUCUGAGCUACCAGUUGACGAUCCAUCUCCCAUCACUUGUUUGUGUGAGCACCAAGCAGAAGCGUUAACGGAGAAGGGUCAAGGACGUACAAGAGAUGGAAAAUGAUCUUCAUGGAGAAACAGAUAUGGGAAGCAUGAGAGUGCAUCACUAGUGAUAGGCGAUCAGCUAGUGUAUCAAUAGCACAUUGAAUUAUUUAUCAUACUAAUCAUUGCGUUGAAUUCACUUAAACUGUAGCCUAAGAAAGACUGCGUUUAGCAUAUGUACUGAAAAAGCCAUUCAGCAUUUUGGACUGCACAGAGAUGGGUACCUGAUCUCUAGAGUGCACAAUUUGAGCCUAAAAAUAUUUGUCCAGCCUGCCCUGUUAUUUCAUCUUGCAUGCAUUGGUGGCUACAUAAACUCGGUGUACACCUUUGUGAUUCAUGGUGACAUAUUUGCAUUCUUGCUGACUUUAUUGAGCCGGUAUUUAUAGAUUUCUUGAAGUCAUAGAUUGCAUUUAUUUUCAGGUGGAACUCUUUUGUAGGCAACUGCCCCAGUGCCCUGUAUGGAAAUUAUGUAUGUUGAGGACUUUGUUCUUUUUUUUUGGUCAAAGA